rnacentral:rRNA from 1 species
CGAACGGCAGCACGGAGCUUGCUCUGGUGGCCGAGUGGCGAACGGGUGAGUAAUAUAUCGGAACGUACCCUAGAGUGGGGGAUAACGUAGCGAAAGUUACGCUAAUACCGCAUACGGUCUAAGGAUGAAAGUGGGGGAUCGCAAGACCUCAUGCUCGUGGAGCGGCCGAUAUCUGAUUAGCUAGUUGGUAGGGUAAAAGCCUACCAAGGCAUCGAUCAGUAGCUGGUCUGAGAGGACGACCAGCCACACUGGAACUGAGACACGGUCCAGACUCCUACGGGAGGCAGCAGUGGGGAAUUUUGGACAAUGGGCGAAAGCCUGAUCCAGCAAUGCCGCGUGAGUGAAGAAGGCCUUCGGGUUGUAAAGCUCUUUUGUCAGGGAAGAAACGGUGAGAGCUAAUAUCUCUUGCUAAUGACGGUACCUGAAGAAUAAGCACCGGCUAACUACGUGCCAGCAGCCGCGGUAAUACGUAGGGUGCAAGCGUUAAUCGGAAUUACUGGGCGUAAAGCGUGCGCAGGCGGUUUUGUAAGUCUGAUGUGAAAUCCCCGGGCUCAACCUGGGAAUUGCAUUGGAGACUGCAAGGCUAGAAUCUGGCAGAGGGGGGUAGAAUUCCACGUGUAGCAGUGAAAUGCGUAGAUAUGUGGAGGAACACCGAUGGCGAAGGCAGCCCCCUGGGUCAAGAUUGACGCUCAUGCACGA